AAAAGCUGACAGGAGACCAAAUCAGACUGGUUGCACAGAGCAAAACCUCAUCCCUAGGCAUACUCUCCAUGCUGGAUGCGUGACAGCUCCUGCAUUGCUUCUGUGAAUCCUGCCUUCAGCUCAGAGGCCAGUGCCUGCAACUACAGCAACCACAAACAUGAGGCCCUGGUUCUGCUGGAAGAGCUCACUACCUGAGCUGGAGGCAGCCAGUGAUAGCCGGGUGAAGCAAGAGAUGGACUGGGGCAAGCCAGGCUGGCAGAGCAAGCAGACAAGGCAGCUGUGGAGAGAUCUGCUUCAGGAUGGAGAUACCACAGCCCCAAGUCUUGCUAGCAGUGGAGCACUCCUGGAACUGGCCCUGGACAUAACAUGAUCUAGGGAGAAUAAGCUGAAAAUGAAAUGUUUCUGCCCACAAGCCUGGCCAUCUCUUCCUCAGAUACUUCCAGAAAGGGAGUAAACUACACAGAUCCUUUGAAGAGUAUAGGGAUGGGAAUCAUUGCUGGUCUUGAGGUUUCAGAGUAAGAAACUGCAAGGCAUCAGCAAAAAUGGACCACUGUAGAGUCUUUGGUGUCCAUGUGCACUGAAACACUCUAUGAAAGCAGAGCUCAGCCAACAAAAGGAAAGAUUUGGAUUAGAGGCUGGACAAAAUAUCCUCUGCAUCUAAGAGCAGACAGUGACCUGUUAUUUUGGGAUUUACUGUUGGCCAAUCUCUGCUUUUGUGGUGACAGUGCUAACUUAGUUUCUUUGUGUGUCCAUCUCAGUGCUCCAGAGCCCAGCCUGAGUCUGUCCUGCCCCCUAUAUCCUUCCUCAACCCCAUGCAGCUUGCAGUGGCUGUUUCAGACACCAAAAUGCAUCCUUGUGCUGCUGCUUGAGGGAUGAAUGCAGCCAGAAAAACCAACCAGCCACAGAGCUUGUAUGAUGGAACAAGAAGUGCUGAAACCCUGAGCAGGUCAGGGUUAGCAUAGAGAGGAAUUACGUUCUUGUUGCAUUGGAUGCAGGGUUGAUCCAACAUAAGUGAAGUGGUACAGGAACAGUAUGUUAUCUUUAAACUCUUGCCAAGCAUGGUGUGUAGCUAUGGAUUUUAGUUUGAGCUCAUUUCUAAAAGCAAGCUGUAGAAAACCAUCCUUUAAAUCCCAUAAGCUGUUAAAACAGAUGGAGGCCAUUGAAGUAUCAGGCCCUGCCCAUGUCUUGCCCAAGUUACAGGGCUCUGUCUCCACAGGGAUAGUAUAUGCCUACAGGACCAGAGAGGUACUUUACAGGUUUGUGACCCUCUGGAAAGUCAAGUCAACUCUGUGUUUCUAAAGUUUCUA